CUCAAUGGAAGAUGUACUUGGAAAGAACCUUGACGUCCAUUAUAUUUAUGUUUGUCCCAAGGAAGCCAAGGCCAAGGAAUGAAGUGGCAGCUGAUUGAAGCA